UGAUAAUCUGGGCUGUCCAACGGACUCUUUCUCCCUUCACACGCUCCCUCAAUGGCCAGAGUCAAACAUUCCGUGCCGCGGGGCCGAAGGCGAAAGAAAUCCACUGAAACAACUACCUCACCAACUUCACUAGCAACGCCGCCGUCGAAUAGGUCCCCAGGACCAAGUGCAAGUAGAGCACAGCGAAAUACUCCAUCAACUUCAAGAACACCAAGGCAGAGGAAACAGCAUCGCUUCAAGCCAGGAACAGUAGCUCUCCGAGAAAUUCGCCACUUCCAGAAGACUUGGA
rnacentral:misc_RNA from 1 species